ACCUGCGGAGGGAUCAUUACCGAGUUUACAACUCCCAAACCCCUGUGAACAUACCACUUGUUGCCUCGGCGGAUCAGCCCGCUCCCGGUAAAACGGGACGGCCCGCCAGAGGACCCCUAAACUCUGUUUCUAUAUGUAACUUCUGAGUAAAACCAUAAAUAAAUCAAAACUUUCAACAACGGAUCUCUUGGUUCUGGCAUCGAUGAAGAACGCAGCAAAAUGCGAUAAGUAAUGUGAAUUGCAGAAUUCAGUGAAUCAUCGAAUCUUUGAACGCACAUUGCGCCCGCCAGUAUUCUGGCGGGCAUGCCUGUUCGAGCGUCAUUUCAACCCUCAAGCACAGCUUGGUGUUGGGACUCGCGUUAAUUCGCGUUCCUCAAAUUGAUUGGCGGUCACGUCGAGCUUCCAUAGCGUAGUAGUAAAACCCUCGUUACUGGUAAUCGUCGCGGCCACGCCGUUAAACCCCAACUUCUGAAUGUGAC
rnacentral:rRNA from 1 species